rnacentral:rRNA from 1 species
UACGAAGGGGGCUAGCGUUGCUCGGAAUCACUGGGCGUAAAGCGCACGUAGGCGGCUUUCUAAGUCAGGGGUGAAAUCCUGGAGCUCAACUCCAGAACUGCCUUUGAUACUGGAGAGCUUGAGUCCGGAAGAGGUGAGUGGAACUCCGAGUGUAGAGGUGAAAUUUGUAGAUAUUCGGAAGAACACCAGUGGCGAAGGCGGCUCACUGGUCCGGUACUGACGCUGAUGUGCGAAAGCGUGGGGAGCAAACAGG